rnacentral:rRNA from 1 species
UAGAGUUUGAUCCUGGCUCAGGAUGAACGCUGGCGGUCUGCUUAACACAUGCAAGUCGAACGCAACCUUCGGGUUGAGUGGCGGACGGGUGAGUAACGCGUGAGAAUCUGCCUUGGGGUCGGGGACAACCACUGGAAACGGUGGCUAAUACCGGAUAAGCCUUUGGGUAAAAAAUUUAUUGCCCCAAGAGGAGCUCGCGUCUGAUUAGCUAGUUGGUGAGGUAAAAGCUCACCAAGGCAGCGAUCAGUAGCUGGUCUGAGAGGACGAUCAGCCGCACUGGGACUGAGACACGGCCCAGACUCCUACGGGAGGCAGCAGUGGGGAAUUUUCCGCAAUGGGCGAAAGCCUGACGGAGCAAGACCGCGUGAGGGAGGAAGGCUCUUGGGUUGUAAACCUCUUUUCUCAGGGAAGAAGCUCUGACGGUACCUGAGGAAUCAGCCUCGGCUAACUCCGUGCCAGCAGCCGCGGUAAUACAGAGGAGGCAAGCGUUAUCCGGAAUUAUUGGGCGUAAAGCGUCCGCAGGUGGCGAUUCAAGUCCGCUGUCAAAGCACGGGGCUUAACUCCGUUAAGGCAGUGGAAACUGAAUAGCUAGAGUGCCGUAGGGGUAGAGGGAAUUCCCGGUGUAGCGGUGAAAUGCGUAGAGAUCGGGAAGAACAUCGGUGGCGAAAGCGCUCUACUGGACGGCAACUGACACUCAGGGACGAAAGCUAGGGGAGCGAAUGGGAUUAGAUACCCCAGUAGUCCUAGCUGUAAACGAUGGAUACUAGGUGUAGCUUGUAUCGACCCGAGCUGUGCCGAAGCUAACGCGUUAAGUAUCCCGCCUGGGGAGUACGCACGCA